rnacentral:rRNA from 1 species
GAGUUUGAUCAUGGCUCAGAAUGAACGCUGGCGGCGUGCCUAACACAUGCAAGUCGAGCGAGAAAGCUCCUUCGGGAGUGAGUAGAGCGGCGAACGGGUGAGUAACGCGUAGAAAUCUGCCCUUUAGUGAGGAAUACCCUUAAGAAAUUAAGGUUAAUACCGCAUACGUCCCUUCGGGGAGAAAGGUGGCCUCUUGCUGCCGCUAAAGGAUGAGUCUGCGUGCUAUUAGUUUGUUGGUGGGGUAAAAGCCUACCAAGACGAUGAUGGCUAGCCGGCCUGAGAGGGUGUACGGCCACACUGGAACUGAGACACGGUCCAGACUCCUACGGGAGGCAGCAGUGAGGAAUAUUGCGCAAUGGGCGAAAGCCUGACGCAGCGACGCCGCGUGGAGGAUGACGGUUUUCGGAUUGUAAACUCCUGUUAAGCGGGAAGAAAGCCCUGUUUUUAAUAGAAACAGGUUAUGACGGUACCGCUAGAGAAAGCACCGGCUAACUUCGUGCCAGCAGCCGCGGUAAUACGAGGGGUGCGAGCGUUAUUCGGAAUCAUUGGGCGUAAAGGGUGCGUAGACGGCGUACUAAGUCGAUUGUUAAAUUUUUCGGCCUAACCGAAAGUCGGCGGUCGAUACUGGUAUGCUAGAGGAAUAGAGAGAGAAGUGGUAUUCUCGGAGUAGCGGUAAAAUGCGUAGAUCUCGAGAGGAACACCAAUGGCGAAGGCAGCUUCUUGGCUUUUCCUGACGUUGAGGCACGAAAGCGUGGGGAGCAAACAGGAUUAGAUACCCUGGUAGUCCACGCCCUAAACGAUGAUCACUAGAUGUUGGUUUCGCUUGCGAAAUUAGUAUCGUAGCUAACGCGUUAAGUGAUCCGCCUGGGGACUACGGUCGCAAGACUAAAACUCAAAGAAAUUGACGGGGGUCCGCACAAGCGGUGGAACAUGUGGUUUAAUUCGACAAUACGCGAGGAACCUUACCUGGGCUUGACAUGUAUUUGACCGCCAUAGAAAUAUGGCUUUUCAGGCUUUUGUCUGGACAGAUACACAGGUGCUGCAUGGCUGUCGUCAGCUCGUGUCGUGAGAUGUUUGGUUAAGUCCUCUAACGAGCGCAACUCUUGCUGUCAGUUGCUACUACUUUUAGUAGGCACUCUGACGGGACUGCCUGGGAAACCAGGAGGAAGGUGGGAAUGACGUCAAGUCAUCAUGGUCCUUACGUCCAGGGCAACACACGUGUUACAAUGGCUAGUACAAAGGGUUGCAAGCUUGUAAAAGUGAGCGAAUCUCAGAAAGCUAGUCUAAGUUCGGAUUGAGGUCUGCAACUCGACCUCAUGAAGUUGAAAUCGCUAGUAAUCGCGUAUCAGAACGACGCGGUGAAUACGUUCUCGGGCCUUGUACACACUGCCCGUCACACCACGAAAGCUGUUUGUACCCAAAGUCGUCUUAGCCAACCUGUAAAGGGGGCGGGCGCCUAAGGUAUGGGGAGUGAUUGGGGUGAAGUCGUAACA